rnacentral:lncRNA from 1 species
AGUUGAGUAAACUAAGAUUUGGGGGGAUUACAGAGUUGCUGGAGGGAGUAACAUGCAGUCCUGUCUGGAAACCUUCAGCUGGUAGGUUUCAUAUUAUUCGCACACGCUUUUCGCUACAUCUGCCGUCCGACACACAUCACAGUACAUCACAGUGUCCUCGGAGGUACAGCUGUGUCGACUGAUAAGAGACUCUUGAAGCUCCACCUCCGAGUGAUCUGAAAAUACUAUGAGCCAAAUUAUCUCUUCUUGUGCAUCCUCCUCCCAACUGGAAGCUCAGACUUGCUCACAGCUGCUUUUCCUGCACAUUGAAGGACAUUGCAUUGACAUAAUGAAAAGGAAUUGUUUGACAGCGCUCACUGGACGGACCAAUACUCAGAUCAAUGAGAAAGUCCAAGGAACUCGGUGAAGGUCUAAGGAGAGUUGUAGAUUUACUCAAGUUGGGAAGCUCUCUGAGCCAUAUCUAAACAACUUCAGAUUCCAGGAUCAACAGUUCAGAGUUAUUGAGAUGUCUCACCAUUUUGCUGGGGUCUGGAAGAAAACACAAACUGUCGCCCUCAGAUGAGAGGAAAUUUAUUAGGAUACUCAGGAGCAACUCAAGAACCACAAAGCCUGUCACGAACUGGAAACUGCUGGAACACCAGUGUCACUGUCCACAGUAAAGUGAGUUUACAUCAUUAAGGACUGAUAGGGCGCCGACCAAGAAAGAAACCAUCCAUUCAUCUUCUUCCACUUACCUGGGGCCAGGAUAAUGGGGCAGCAGCCUAAGCAGAGAAGCCCAGACCUCCCUCUCCCUAGCCACCUCCUCCAGCUUGUCUGGGGAACACCAAGCCUCCCCCAGGCCAGCCAAGAGUUAUAAUCUCUCCUGGGUCUGCCCCAGGGCCUCAUCCCUGGGACAUGCCCGGAACACUUCACCCAGGAGGCACCCAGGAGGCAUCCUUGUCAGAUGCCUGAACCACCUCAAAUGGCUCCUUUCAAUGUGGAGGAGAAGACGGCUCUACUAUGAGCCCCCCUCGGAUGGCUGAACUAUCUCUAAGAGAGAGGCCAGCCACCCUUUGGAGAAAGCUCAUUUCUGCCGCUUAUAUCUGCGAUCUCAUUCUUUCGGUCACCACCCAAAGUACGUGACCAUAGGUGAGGGUGAAGAUAUAGAUCAACUGGCUUCACUUUUACGCUCAGCUCUCUCUUCACCACAACAGACCGGUGCAGCGUCCUAGUGUCCAUAGCACCAAUCUGUCUGUCGAAUUCCCACUUUCCUC